GUGAAUUAAACAUGCUUGGUGUCUUCGCUUCGGCAAGGCCCUUGCUUAAAUCACAUCCUAACACCUGUGAACUGUAAGACGUAUGAUGAGGUCUCUGGCCAAGUCAUCGUCUGCCCAUUUUUAACAAACAAUUAAUGUAACAAACGUAGUCUUAUUAUAACCUAAUA
rnacentral:misc_RNA from 1 species